UACGUAGGGUGCAAGCGUUGUCCGGAAUUAUUGGGCGUAAAGAGCUCGUAGGCGGUUUGUCGCGUCUGCUGUGAAAACCCGAGGCUCAACCUCGGGCCUGCAGUGGGUACGGGCAGACUAGAGUGCGGUAGGGGAGAUUGGAAUUCCUGGUGUAGCGGUGGAAUGCGCAGAUAUCAGGAGGAACACCGGUGGCGAAGGCGGCGUUCUGGACUGCAACUGACACUGAUAAACGAAAGCCAGGGUAGCAAACGGG
rnacentral:rRNA from 1 species